rnacentral:rRNA from 1 species
UCCUCCAAGGCUAAAUACUCCUGACUGACCGAUAGUGAACCAGUACCGUGAGGGAAAGGCGAAAAGAACCCCGGCGAGGGGAGUGAAAAAGAACCUGAAACCGUGUACGUACAAGCAGUGGGAGCCCCACCACUAAGCCAGUGGUGAACUCCACAUACGCAUCCUUUGCUGAGGAUACGGUUAACGGAGCGAAAGCGACGUUCAACCGCAAAAGAAGCAGAGGGGGCUUAGUGGUGGGGUGACUGCGUACCUUUUGUAUAAUGGGUCAGCGACUUAUAUUCUGUAGCAAGGUUAACCGAAUAGGGGAGCCGGAGGGAAACCGAGUCUUAAUUGGGCGUUAAGUUGCAGGGUAUAGACCCGAAACCCGGUGAUCUAGCCAUGGGCAGGUUGAAGGUUGGGUAACACUAACUGGAGGACCGAACCGACUAAUGUUGAAAAAUUAGCGGAUGACCUGUGGCUGGGGGUGAAAGGCCAAUCAAACCGGGAGAUAGCUGGUUCUCCCCGAAAGCUAUUUAGGUAGCGCCUCGUGAAUUCAUCUCCGGGGGUAGAGCACUGUUUCGGCUAGGGGGCCAUCCCGGCUUACCAACCCGAUGCAAACUGCGAAUACCGGAGAAUGUUAUCACGGGAGACACACGGCGGGUGCUAACGUCCGUCGUGAAGAGGGAAACAACCCAGACCGCCAGCUAAGGUCCCAAAGUCAUGGUUAAGUGGGAAACGAUGUGGGAAGGCCCAGACAGCCAGGAUGUUGGCUUAGAAGCAGCCAUCAUUUAAAGAAAGCGUAAUAGCUCACUGGUCGAGUCGGCCUGCGCGGAAGAUGUAACGGGGCUAAACCAUGCACCGAAGCUGCGGCAGCGACACUCAGGUGUCGUUGGGUAGGGGAGCGUUC